AGAUCCGACCGAUCCUCAGAAGUGAUAUCGACGUAAACAAGUUUUUACUAUUUUACUAAAUCGUGAAAAUUGAGCAUUCGAUUAUAACUAAUAUUUUGUGCAGUCAAUGAAUUUUUAAGGAUAAAAUGGAAACUUCAUUAUCGAGCCAAAAUUCAGCUCAGCUUGGUGUGGGAUACUGUGUUAAAAUUGAAAGUCAAAGCCAUGAUCUGACUGGAAGCCCAGCUUCUGCGGAAAAAGACUUAUUGCACAAAUGCUGGAUAUGUGGUAAACCAUCUUCGACCGCAUUCGGUCUGCAGAGACAUCUUGAAGACUACCACAACACUUUCCAGUGUAAAAAAUGCGAGCUAGUAUUCACCGAUUACGCACUGCUUAGUGAGCAUCAGGAAACUCAUCCCAAACCGAAGCGAAAGCCAAAGGCUCCUCCAAAGAGCUACCAGUGCAGCACAUGUGGUGCUGAAUUUCAAACAGCUGCAUCCUUCAAUGCUCACAAAAAGUCAGCCCAUCCUUUGGAGGAACGGUUCGAGUGCGACUGCGGACGCAGAUUUUUCACCAGUGCCCAACUUGAGAAUCACAUGCUGGUGCAUACGGAUGGAAAUCGAAACUUUUGCGAUAUUUGCGGGAAUUAUUUUACCUCGAAUUCCGUGCUGCACACACAUCGCAGAAAGGUUCAUGACUUGCCGCUGCCCUAUCAGUGUCCGCAUUGUGAGGAAAGUUUCGCCGACAAUAAAUCUCUGACGCAGCACAGUUUUGUCCACCGAAAGAGGGAACAUUUCGAGUGCGAAUUGUGUGGCAUGAAGUACUACCAGCGCAUUAGUUUAAGGUUUCACAUGGAGAAGAGGCACGGUCCAAACGAGGGGAGUAACCAAGGCGAGUCGAGAAACGGGACAAUAAUUACUCCGCCCGUCCUGAAUUGUGAUAAACCCUUUCAGUGUGACAUGUGUGAAAAAACAUUCCGCCUAAAACCAUUCCUGACAGCCCACAGAAAGUGCCACACGGAUGUGGGCAAACCAUUCGUAUGCGACAUCUGCGGGAAAGAGUUUCGGUUGAAAAAAAUGCUACAAGCACACUCGUUAGUCCACAGCAACGAACGGCCCCACCAGUGUACUAUCUGUCAAAAGUCAUUCGCCGCUCGAAGCUAUUUAACGGUUCACAUCCGCAUCCACACCGGUCAGGAACGGUUUAGGUGUGAAUUUUGCGACAGAGGUUUUAAUUCGCAAGCGCACCUGCAGGGCCAUCGCCGAAGUGUGCACACCGGUGAGCGACCGGAGAAGUGUGACAUAUGCGAGAAAACUUUCGUAACCCAUACUCGAAUGUUACAACACCGGCGCAUGCACACGGAGGAGAAGAAUAAACUGUGCGACAUCUGUGAUAAAGCGUUUCGUACCUCGCAGCAGUUGCAGCGGCAUCAAAAAGUUCACUUGGGAGUGUGGCCUGUGAACUGCGAAAUUUGCGGUAAAGGCUUUCUUGACAAUCACCGGCUGAAGAAACACAUGCCGAUCCAUACGGAGGGCAGGCUUCCCCAUGGGUGCGAUCUGUGUGAACAAUCUUUCGCCUCACCGAGUAAGCUUGCGACGCAUAAACGGGUUCACUUGGGAGAUGAGAAGACGAACCAAACACCCAAUCAGCAAGCACUGGAUGAUGCCAAUAGAACCAUUAGAACUGAAAUCGAUAAUAAUUCCUAGUACGCAGGUGAAAUUCGAUGAUUUAAUAUCAUAUUGUUGAUAAAAUGGUUCCUCCACUAUUGGAUCAUAAGAUACACUAUGCUCCUAUAGUUGCGUUAUGUUUCGCAUUUCUGGUUGCACUGUGUUAAACGUAGCACCCACUGACUUCAUAAACGUCAAAAACGUCCUCCGCGUUGCACUUUCGUUUGUUGUUUGUAGUGGAUUGAAGCAGUGUUUUUUUUCGGCCUUUCCUGCUUUAAAUCGUGCUCUUAAAAUAUGGAAUUUCAUAAUAGCCGCGAACCCCAAAAGAAAAAACCAGCUCGCCAGUGCUACUGUGAAAAUGACGUGCAGCGAAGUCUUCUCAGCAUCAAGGAAGGAAAACAAACUGCUUACUGGGCUGCAAUAUCUUCUACAAAGAAGACACGAAAAGGACCCCAAACGGUGUUGUCGGAGGAGGAGUUGAAACUUGUUGGAUGGAUCAAAAACAUGCAACGAAAGGGUUUUCCGAUUAUAAGGGAAACUCUGAAAUCAAAAAUACAUCGUUUUUCAAUUCUUAUCCACGACCCAAUCCCUUCUGCAAAAAUGUUCCUGGUCGGAAAUGGUUCCAGAGUUUUCUCAAGAGGCAUGAAACCCUCACGAUACGAACGCCAGAGGCUGUCUCCUCAGCGAGUGCCAAGGUAAGCGAGGUCAACAUUCGGGGCUGGUUUCACGACUUUAAAACAUAUGCGAUAGAGCACGGAACUGCGCACAUUCUUCAGGAUCCGUCAAGGAUGUGGAAUGGAGACGAGACAUGCUUCUACCUAAACCCAAAAAAUAAAGCUGUGUUGGCUAUUCGUGGGAGCCACAAUGUUUACGAAGUAGAACAUGCCAGCAGACGGCUUAGUUGUGCCUCCAGCCGUCAUCUUGCCUUUGGAAAGAAUUCGCUCGGACUUGUUGCGAACAUUUCCGGCCGAGUGGGGUAUUGGAAAAAGUGCUAAAGGAUGGAUGGAUGCCAACAAUUUCGAAUUGUACAUUCGGAAGGUAUUUUACCCCUUCCUUUUGAAGACGGGAGUAACUCUUCCUGUGUAUUAUUUUGUCGACGGGCAUUCAUCGCAUAUGGCAGCAAAUGUAGCUGAUUCGUGUUGCGAGUUAGGAAUAAUUCCAGUUGUGUUAUAUCCUAACACAACUAGGAUUACACAGCCCGCUGACGCUGAUAAGCACAAUAGAAAUGUUCUUACAUUAGAUGACUUCAGACAUCAUCGUAUCUGGAUUCAAAACCUGCGGAUUGUACCCGUUCGACCCGGCCAGGUUCACACAAUCCAGCAAUGAGAAAACUAAAUACCUGGAUGAAUCAUCGGUGCACCCUUUCAAAAAUGCGACUAUCAUCGAUUCAUUUCUUACGGAGCCGGAAAUCUUGCAUACGUCAGUAACCUUUCAGUCACCUAAUCAUAAAAAUUGCAAACGUAAAUUCUACCCUGUCCUUACUGCUGGUGAACGCCUAGAGGAGAUUCGCCGAAUCGAGGAGGAGAAGGAGAAAACGAUUCAAGAGAGAAAAGAAAAGACAGAGAUACGCGCUGCAAAAAAGGUGGAAAUAGAAAAGCUGAAGGCAGCAUCACGCGAAAUACGAGCUGAGAAGAAAGUUGAACGGGAAAAACUAAAGGAAGAAACACGGUUGCUGAUGAGACAAAAAUCAGAAAAAAGAGCGAAGAAGAAACUUGAGGCUGAGAAACUAAAAGACAAAUUAAGUGAACGAAAAAGUCAGCAAGCUGCCAUUAGAAAACAGGAGCGCGAAAAUCUACGAAAAAAUGAGAAUUUUAAUAAUUGGCAAUGGCAUGACAUAAAUACACGAUUUAUAUAAAAUAUUAACGUUCAUUAUUAAAGUUAUACAUGUUGAAUUUAUUACUCCCCUCUCUCUCUCCUGAAUUGCUACAUAAAUGCUUUAAGUAAAAUCACUUAAAUGAUGCUUACUCACCGUUUGUGUUUUUAUUUUUUAUAUUUUUAAGGAGUCAUCAACAGUGCGU